UAUUCAGUGACUCUCUUGUUAGAUUAACCCAAAAAGUUUCAUUCACUCUGCAUACUCAAUCCUAAAGACACCCUUUUAAUUCUUCAAUCACAGACGUAACUUUGAUUUCACAAAAUAGUCAAGAGUAAUCACACCCACUUCAUUAAAACCCCAAUUCAUCAGUACAACACUCACUUUCAGCAACGAUUGCCUGAGUCUUUCCAAAAUCCUAUGAAAAAAAAAAAAAAAAAA
rnacentral:lncRNA from 1 species